UACAGAGGGUGCAAGCGUUGCUCGGAAUUACUGGGUGUAAAGGGGUUCGUAGGCGGUGUGGCAAGUCGGGAGUGAAAUCUCUGGGCUCAACCCAGAGUCUGCUUCCGAAACUGCCCGUGCUUGAGUGUGGGAGAGGCGCGUGGAAUUGCAGGUGUAGCGGUGAAAUGCGUAGAUAUCGGGAAGAACACCCCGUGGCGAAGGCGGCUCUCUGGGACGGUACUGACGCUGAGACGCGAAAAGCGUGGGGAGCGAACAGG
rnacentral:rRNA from 1 species